UGCGCAGGCGGUUAUGUAAGACAGAGGUGAAAUCCCCGGGCUCAACCUGGGAACUGCCUUUGUGACUGCAUAGCUGGAGUGCGGCAGAGGGGGAUGGAAUUCCGCGUGUAGCAGUGAAAUGCGUAGAUAUGCGGAGGAACACCGAUGCGAAGGCAAUCCCCUGGGCCUGCACUGACGCUCAUGCACGAAAGCGUGGGGAGCAAACA
rnacentral:rRNA from 1 species